rfam:Thalassobacter sp. 16PALIMAR09 PM04_008, whole genome shotgun sequence.
AUUGCCAGCAAUUUGGCAAUGUAGGGGAUCAGGGGUAGGUUCAAAACCAAAAGCACCAGAUUGCCAAUAAACAUCGACAUGAUAACAGCCCAGAAAAUCUGUGGUUCGUCAAUCAUUAGGCGCGGACC